UUCCCAGGUAUUGUUUUAGUUGUUUUGACUGAAAAAAAAUCCAGAUGAUACCUAGUUCAGUAUUUGCUCUAAUGUUAUGAAUAAAUUAGUGGGAGUUUUUACAUGUGCAAACUGAACAGAAGUUCUUACCAAUGUAGAAAUCUGAACUGAAUGCAAAUUGUUACUGCUAAUUGAAUUUUAACAAAACGGUUCUUUGAACUUAAUUUGAACAAAAUGGCAGGCACAGCUGAAUCCGGUAGAAUCUUUACUGAAUCCACUUGAUUAAGUACUCUUCUUUUUUUAACCUGUAAUUAUCUGUUGCAUAUUGGAUCAGUUUUGGGAUUUCCAGCUGAAACUCGUCUUCUUGUUACGGAGGAUAAUUAAUUUAGUCCUCGUUGGUGUGCUGCUGGCUCACUUGCCCUGUCAUUUUUCUUUUGAAUCCUCUGUUUAUCAUACGUACAUAACUUGAACAAAAUGGCACGCACAACUGAAUGCAAAAAAAUUCUGCUACUGAAUUUGAACAAAAUGGUGCUAUUGCUCAGAACUAAACUGAAUAGCACUAGAACUAAAUGGCAACUAUUGCCCAUAGCUGAACUGAACUGAAUGGCAUCCAAAAUCAGAAAUAUCUCACCACAAUCUAGUAAAAAUGUCAUCUGUUAUUGGUCCCUGUAAAUUUAAUAGCUUGUAACUCUGAAAUUUUCCUUUGUGACACCAUUAAGUGUAAAGUUUCUGACAGGUGUAGUGUGUGAUUGUGUUCCAAAACUAACGAAGAUACUUUGAGAUUUUCCUUCUCUCGGUCCAUUUUAACAUUCAUGUGGACCUCACAAUCGGUUCUAGUUUCAGCCCGAGGUAACUUUGUUAAAUAAUCCCUCUUGUCUUGUGAUCGAAGACCUUCAUUUGCACAAACAAAUUUGCAUGAUGUAAUCUUUCCAUCGGAUGUUCUUUUGUUUGUGUACAUUUUCUAACCUCGAAGCCUUGCUGCCCGCUAUAGGUUAUCCAAAAUGCCCAAGCUUCAUCUGAAUUUCUGAAUUCCAUGCCAACAUGAGGUGCCAAACCAGGAAGUACAACUCUGCUGUGUAAAAAUAAAACAGUUUCUUGUUCCAUUGGCAAACGGGAUGCUUGAUGAAGUUCAGCAAACUACUUCCAUGAGAAACAUGAAGAUUGAUCAAGUUCCAAAGAAAUCUCAAGGUGAGAGUUUGAUCUACUGAGGUGAUUACCUUUAUGUGAAAAACUGUAUGAGAAACUGAGAAAUCUGGGCCAUAUGUACUUGUCCACCUACUGGUGUUACAAUCCAGGAUAAUGAGAAUUUACCUAAUAAUGAGAAGCAGAGCAG